GGAAAGCUGCAGAAGUCACCAAAGGAAACAGGCUAGCGAACAAAAGUCACCCCCAAAAGAAGAGGAGGGUCUCCUCGGGGCUCGUUUGGGGCAGCUAGGCGCUGGCGGUGGCAGCACAGCCCGGCGGAGAUAAUCGUCACCUGCAGCUGGAAGCACGUCGCUUACUGGGUCUCCACACCACCCUGUUAACAGUGCUACUUGCCUCAUUCUAUACAGGGAUGUCCCCAGCACAAAGCCAGGUGCCCAGAUUCUUAGAAUAUAAUGGUGGCCCAUGCUAUUCCUUUCAGCUUCCUACCAGAAAACAGAUACUGAACUUCCUGUCUGAGCUAGGAUUUUACUGCUGUGAUAAACACUACGAAAGAUCAAAAGUAACUUGGGGAGAAAAGAGUUUAUGGCAUCCUACAGCCUGCAGUCCCUUAUUCUGGCAAGUCAGGCCAAGAAUUCCAGGCAGGAACCUGGAGGCAAGAACUAAGUGGAAGCCAUAGAAGAAUGCUGCUUCCCCAUGGCUUGCUCACCUUGUUUCUUUCUUCUACAACCUGGAAGUCUGUGAGAGUGUGUUACAUAAAUUCUAAUCAAAGCAACACAAAAUAAAAUUAUACAAAAAGAUUUUGUUAAGAAACAACUGAACCCAGCUCGAGGGUGAUUGAACCCAACCUCACUCCCCAAAGGUAUCUUUCUUUUCCUGUGUAAAUGGAGCAAAAAAUGAUGUACUAUGAAAUUUACCUAUUCUAAGUGUAUUGUUGGGUGGACUGUGAUGAUGGCUCAGAGUCCUGUCACUCUCUCUGUUAAAAUGGAGAGUAUUUGCAUCACUGGGAGAAGAUCGAUCAUGUGAUGACUCAGCUAAUUUUCUCACCCCUAUCCAGGAGGCACAUUAUGUAUGCAUUGUUGCAUGCAAGGCUAGCUUGCCUCCGGUAGAACAUAUAAACAUAUGAGUUGAAUCAUACUGUAUGUUCUCUUAGUUUCUUUCAUAUAGCAUGACAUUGUAACUAUUUCUUAUUGUAAUCAUUUUUAAGUUUACUCCUCAUUACUGUACAGUAUUCCAUUUCCUGCUUUGCUUAGUAAUUAUACUGUGGAGACAUUUCAAUUAGUGCCUAUUCAUAUUAUCAUUUCUCUAUUUGCUUGAUGAUGGUCAUGUAAGCUUUUCCUCUGUUUAGCCCUACUGGGAUUUCGAUUGAAAUUUCAAUGAAUUUGUAGACAGUUUAGAAGAUUGGCUGCCUCAUCAGUGCUUGGUGUCUGAAUCAGUGAGACACAGAACAACUCUGAUGAAGUCUUUGUUAAUUUCUUUUAGUAAUGGAAUCAUUGAUAGUUUGUUAAGUUUAUCAUAUGUAUUUUGAGAUCCUUUGGUGUUGUGGAGAAUAGUAUUAUUAUUUCUAUUUUCCUUUUUCUUGUUC
rnacentral:lncRNA from 1 species